rnacentral:rRNA from 1 species
UACGGAGGGUGCAAGCGUUUAAUCGGAAUUACUGGGCGUAAAGCGUGCGCAGGCGGUUUGUUAAGUCCGUUGUGAAAGCCCCGAGCUCAACUUGGGAAUUGCAGUGGAUACUGGCAGGCUGGAGUACGGUAGAGGAAGGUGGAAUUCCCGGUGUAGCAGUGAAAUGCGUAGAUAUCGGGAGGAACACCAGUGGCGAAGGCGGCCUUCUGGACCAGUACUGACGCUCAUGCACGAAAGCGUGGGGAGCAAACAGGAUAG